UACAGAGGCUGCAAGCGUUAUUCGGAUUCACUGGGCGUAAAGGGUGCGCAGGCGGUCGGGUGUGUCAGAUGUGAAAUCCCGAGGCUCAACCUCGGAACUGCGUCUGAAACUACUCGACUAGAGUACUGGAGAGGGUAACGGAAUUCACGGUGUAGCAGUGAAAUGCGUAGAUAUCGUGAGGAACACCAGAGGCGAAGGCGGUUACCUGGACAGUUACUGACGCUCAGGCACGAAAGCAUGGGGAGCAAACAGG
rnacentral:rRNA from 1 species